UUGAAGUGUGCUGCUUGUUUUUGUUGCUAAACAAUGAACGCUAUUUGUUUGAUUUUAGUUGUACUAAUAUUUGGUUGUUAUGGUCAUAAGGCGGAUUCAGGAUCGUAUACACUUAAACUUGGUAUGUAUAUUAUCUUAAAGGUUGCUAGUCCUUUGUCAAUAUAUAUUCAUCUUUAAGUUUCUUCUGUUACUUAAUCUUACAUCGGACUCGGACUUCGUUUAAACCGAGUUUUACUAAGCGUAUUGCAGUUUUUUUUUUAAUUUAUUUAACAUUGGCUAGAGGUAUAGAGGAGUGUUGAGAUCUCACAAAACACGUUUAACCCGACCGCCCGCAUUGUUUACGCCUUACUCAAGUCAGGAACCUCUAGCCUUUGUUGUCUUUUGUGUUUUUUUAAUCAAAUUGGACCAUAAAGAGAGGCGAAAGAUACAAAAGGGAUAUUCAAGCUCAGAAGUCGAAACAAACUGACAAUGUCAUGGCGGGAAAAAAAACAUACCAAAAAAGGGAGUGAUCUCAAGUGCUGCGGGUUGAUUAGCUAAUCCUGUCGCUCCACAUAUGGCACCCAUCUGUGAUUCAUGCAAGUACACACACGGUGAUAAGUAUUAUGUUUGGUACAUCAAAUUUUAGGAAAGAAGACGAGCCUGAUUGUGGUUACGAUAAAUGAGACAUAUAUAUCCGUCAUAAAAUGUUAAACAGAUAUUCUAUAUAACGGUCAACCAACUCAGUCAUAGUGGCCGCGUCCAUACAAAUUAAAUUCAACACUUGGAACUCUUGGUUUUGAUUGUUUCCUCGGUUUUAUAGAUAAUUUUAGAUACCAUAAAAAGAGCUAAUAAGAAUGAUAAAGUUUGAUAUUAUAUAUAGUUUGUAUUAUAUACCCUGAUAUUCUAAUAUUUAUUCGUGUGUUUUCCUUUAAUUUCUUGUUUGAACUUUUAUGUCAUUUUUGUUAAACAGAAAACGCAAGUUUUGAAGAUCUUCAUAGUAUGUUCAAGAAAAUCAAAGUAACAGGAACAGGUAAUUGUUACUACCUUCUCAAUAUUUCGUUUUUUGUGAGAUUGAUCAUUUUUAAGAUAAAUAUUACCAUCCAGGUUAUUCAUGUACAGAUUGCAUACAUAUGUAUACAUACAUUUUUAUGGUGUAGUGAUACUGAAGUACGGUUUUUUGAAAUAGGGAUAAACCGAUAAACAUGCUUUAUAUACACUCAAACUAUGAGCGGCUGUGUUUUUAUGCUCCAUCUACGAUAGUAGAAGGACAUUAUGUUUUCUGGUCUGUGUGUCCGUCCGUCCGUCCGUCUGUCCCGCUUCAGGCUAGAGAUUUUGGUAGUUUUUGUUGAAAUUUAAGUCCAGUGCACUUGAAACUUAGUUCACAUGUUCCCUAUGAUAUGAUCUGUCUAAUUUAAAUGCCAAAUAAGAUUUUUGAUUCCAAUUUCACGGUCCACUGAACAUGGAAAAAUCAUACUAGUGCAAGCGGGGCAUCUGUGUACUAUGGACACAUUCUUGUUUCAAUAUAAUCUAUAAGUGCAACUCUAAUAAACUAAUUUCAUAAUAGAUUCUACCUCUCGGAAUAAUAAUUUGCUUUAUGUCCUUUAAAUGUAAACUAUGGGUUUUUUUUAUAAUAUGACUAUUAAAAAAAAAAAGAAUAUUAGAUUUUCAUUUUUUUCUGUACAGGUUUGAGUCAACAUGACAAAGUAUUUUCAGCCUUUGCAGCUUCUUCAACUGCGUCAAAAACUUUGGGACAUGGUGAGAUUGUAAAGUUUGACAAAGUUUGGACGAACGUCAAUAAUGAUUAUGAUCCAAUCACUGGAGUAUACACAGCUCCAGAACCUGGGGUGUACCAAUUCUCAUGCUCCGUUAUGACACAAAAAAAUAAA
rnacentral:lncRNA from 1 species